UGUUGACUAGCUUUGCUGGUAGUGCAUGAGACUCACAAUCUCAGGGCAGUGGGUUCGUGUCCCACGUCGGUUC
rnacentral:tRNA from 1 species